rnacentral:rRNA from 1 species
GAUGAACGCUGGCGGCGUGCCUAAUACAUGCAAGUCGAGCGAACGGACGAGAAGCUUGCUUCUCUGAUGUUAGCGGCGGACGGGUGAGUCACACGUGGAUAACCCCCCUAUCAGACUGGGAUCACUUCGGGAAACCGGCGCUAACACCGGAUAAUAUUUUGAACCGCAGUGUUCAAAAGUGAAAGACGGUCUUGCUGUCUCUUCUCGAUGGUUCCGCGCUGCAUUAGCUAGUUGGUAAGGUCACGGCUUACCACGGCAACGAUGCAUAGCCGAACUGACAGGGUGAUCGGCCACACUGGAACUGAGACACGGUCCAGACUCCUACGGGAGGCAGCAGACGGGAAUCGUCCGCAAUGGGCGAAAGCCUGACGGAGCGACGCCGCGUGAGUGAUGAAGGUCUUCGGUUCGUAAAACUCUGUUAUUAGGGAAGAACAUAUGUGUAAGUAACUGUGCACAUCUUGACGGUACCUAAUCAGAAAGCCACGGCUAACUACGUG